rnacentral:lncRNA from 1 species
CAGGUCCCGGUCUUUUCAGCGCUGUUUUUUUAAGGCAGAGAACUGAUGGAUUUCAGCAAAGUGUGUGGCAUGGUAGUCAGAGUGGGAACAUCGUUCAGAGUUGGUGGAUACAGCAAGACAUGGGUCUUAGCGAGUCUUGAUGCAUAACCCAUGGAUCAGCAAGCUGUUUUGCCAGGUGAGCAAACCCUUUGCCAGGACAGAUGGCUUUGUAGGAAUUUCCUGCCACAGACAGUGAAGUUAUUUAUUGGUUUACAAUAACUUCCUGGAAGAAAGAGUUAAGUUGUGUUGACACAGAUGGUCCUGAUUCUCAGUCCUAAGAGCUAAGCUUUGUGGACAUGGUCAUCUCUGUUCCCAACCCCGUUUACUCGACUCGAAUCAAAGCUGCAUAACAUCCACCACCAGAGGCACAAGAGGGACCCCUCAAGUGUCCGCUGGAUCAGGGGCUCACCCACCAGGCUCCUGACUCAUCUCCGGUUCCUGGAUUCUGUCUUAGACUGAGAUGUUCAUUUCAUCCUGAUGGAAGGGAUGAACCCAGCCCCCCUUCUCCCAAGGCACUGCCUGCAUCAGCCUAAACACUGGCUCCUCCGUAAUUAACGCCUUAUGCUCAGGAAGUGUGGAGAGGCUGAAGCUCACAGAGUAGUUAGGUUUUCAAGUCCAAACCAAAGGAGAAAAUUGAAUAGAGUCACAAUUGCCUUUGAAAAUUCCCGAGGAAGGGGCCAUGUUGGGCCCAAUACGACCUCCUGUUAAGUCCGAUGUAGCCAGUUUUUCCUGCAAUCCUGGGAAAAUCUUGUUGUUGUUUUUAUUUUUUUCAGUUUAAUAGAGUAGUUAACUUGUAUUUCUGAGCUAUAAGCCAUGAAAGAAUCCAUCAGACAAGAGGUGAGAGACCUACCUGAACCACUGAGGGCAAGUCUGCUUCUUUACUCUCCUGAGCCAGAUGCCCUAGAGGAAAACAUGUGAAAAGUAGCCUGUACUGGGAGUUCCCGUCGUGGCUCAGCGGAAGCAAAUCUGACUAGCAUCCAUGAAGACACGGGUUUGAUUCCUGGCAUUGCUCAGUGGGUUAAGAUUCUGGCGAUGCUGUGAGCUAUGGUGUGGGUUGCAGACGAGGGUCAGAUCUGGCGUUGCUGUGGCUGGGGUGUAGGCCAAUGGCUACAGCUCUGAUUCAUCCCUAGCCUGGGAACCUCCAUAUGCCGCAGGUGUGGCUCUAAAAAGACAACCAAAAAAAAAUAGGUGGCCUGCACUAUGUAACUUGGUGUGUUCUGUAAUUUUUUUUUUUUGGCAGAACUUAAAUUGUUUCAUUUAUUAGAUGCUCCAAGUAAAUCAUAUCGUUGCCUUAUACUUCUUUAUAGACAUUGUUCUUCUUUACUAAUGUGGGUAUUUCUUAGUCAUUAUGGAAUAAUCGUGUCAUUAGCUAUUAUAAUAUUAGAUAAAUCAUAUUCUUCAUUAUCAUUCAUUAUUCCAUAAUUUAGGCACGCGGUUAUCCGCAAGGAAGGAGUCAGCUGCCCUUUGGACAUUUAACACUGACUCCUUGGAAGUUUGUUGUAAAAAUGCAAAGGUAGAGCUUGGCUUGGAGGUGGUUUGUCCCUCAGCACAGCCUGGGACCCGCUGGCUCUUGUUUUACUCCUCAUGUUUUACAUUCACGUGUAUUGAGCAUCUGUGAUCCACCAGGCUCUGUCCCAGGCCCCAGGGAGCGAAAGACCAGCAGCCAUCCUUGACUUCAUGGCACUUUCAGUCUGGCACCAAAGAAGGAUAUGAAACAAAUAGAACAUUAAACACUGAGGAGUUCCCAUCGCGGCUCAGUGAAAAUGAAUCUGACCAGUAUCCAUGAGGACGCAGAUUCGAUCCCUGGCCUUGCUCAGUGGGUUAAGGAUCUGGCGUUGCUGUGAGCUGUGGUGUAGGUCACAGACGCAGCUUGGAUCUGGCGUUGCUGUGGCUGUGGCAUAAGCUAGAGACUAUGACUUUGAUUUGACUCCUAGCCUGGGAUCCUCCAUAUGCUGCUGGUGCGGCCCUAAAAAAAAAAAAAAGAAAAAAAUAAUAACUUCAUGCGGGGUCCUCUAUCCUGAGUGGAGGUUGUAUCUAGGUUCUGAGUGAUGCUCUGGUGCCCCCACAGUACCACCCGCCACCCAUACCAGUGAUGCCUCCAUCUCUGGACCACAUCACAAAGGGUGGGGCUUCUCAGUUACCUCCUGGGCUCACAGGUAGAUUCCACGUGCUCACUAUCCCAUUCUUGGUUAUGAGGCUCACGUGAUUUGUGUAAAGCAUAGAUUGUUGAAAGGCCAUCACCAGACCUCAUUUUUCAGCACUAUCUUCCUCUGUCUGGUCUGUGCUUUUAAGCCAGAGUGCUAAUCACUAGGAGCGAGCCUUGAUUUAUGGCAUCCUGUCUGUCCUGGCUCUUGGAAAUGACUCGGAUGAGUUGCAGGGCGCGAGGGUCCUGGAGGAUGCGGAUGGCCUGAGUGUUCUGAGGCAAUGGAGGAUGCCACAUGGUUAUUGUGUUUAUGGAAUCACAUCCUGGAAGCCUGGCCACAGAAAUCCUGUGCUGGACAAACACUGAUCCACAGCCCUUCCCAGCCUCAUUGCCCAUGUUCUUCAACUACGUGUGAGAAACAGCAUCUUCCUGCCCUAUAAGCAAGGCAGGGGAUGCCCUAGACAAGGCAGCAGAGUUACCUGCCCUGCAGUCCUAGAAGGGGGCACCUGCGGUUGUCAGAUUUCAGGGAUGUGUUGUGUCAAAGAGACAGUGUGAGAAAGAUCUCAUCUGGGCUGGAAGAGUUCGCGGUGGCCUGGCCGAGGGCAGAGAAGCUCAGCGUCAUCCUGGAUUCCUCCUUUUUCUGGAUUCCAUAGCUUCCCCACCCCUACCCCAUCCCGGCACCCAGUGCUAGGAGAUCCCCCUCAAGUCUUCACAAUCCACCCCCUCUUCCCUUUCCCACACCUACCUCCCUACUUAUGGUCUCACUCUUUCAUUUGUGGGCGCUACGCUGACACUCAUCAUCCAUCUGCACCAUCACAGAAACAUGGAUGGUUGGUUGGUUGGUUGGUUGGUUGGUUGGUUGGUCUUUCUUCCCAAAUGCUCAUCCUUCCGUGUUGCCAGCCUGCUGACCCCGACUCCAUGCUGCGCCCAGGACCAGGUCCACACUCUUCACCUUGACAUUUGAGGACUUUCAGGCUAUAUGUCCACCUUCUCCCAACUCUUCCUCCACUGGUCCUGCCCCUGUGCCCUCACGGGUCUGCCCCUGUGGCCCAAACCGGCCACUGUCCUGACUCCAGUCCCUGCCCAUCCUUCUUCCUCUCUGCACCCUCCACCCCCCGCCCUACCAGGCUCCCAGCUGCCCUUGCAGGCUGGCAUAGACACUUUAUCCACUGAUAGUGGAGCUCACCUGGCCUGAGCUGGUGUCUGUCUGGUGGUGGAAAUAUUCUGUAGGCCUAGCUGUGGCCCAAGUGUGUGCCAGGAGGUCAACCUCGGUUCAUAGCUCAAGCUCUGCCAGGAAGUAUCUGUUCUGCCUUUUGUUGCCAUGUCCUUGAACCCAAGGGGGAUCCUCCUGUAGCCAAGAAUGAUGCCAGAAGAGGACCAGUGUGCCUCUCACUGACUGAGCAGUUCCACUUCCUUCCCCGACUGCCUGGGCGAGCCUGCCCUCACCAGCCCACAAGCCGGUACAGCUCCCUUGGCUGAGUGCCUGAUUCCCUAGCCGCCCUUUACCUCUGAGACAGGGGAACUGUUGGUCUUAACUGACCAGGAAGAAAAUGUGUUUGACCACAGGGACCCUGCUGUUCUGUGCCUCCAAACCCUCGUUCUUUACAGAGAUGCCCUGAGCCUGGGCCCACAAACCACCUGAGGCAUUUGAGGGCCCAGUUCAGCAGCAGAGGGUCAGUUAGAGAAAUCCCCUUUGGGUCAUUUUAUAUGGUUUGGAUAGCAGGUGCAU